UACGGGGGGGGCAAGCGUUGUUCGGAAUUACUGGGCGUAAAGGGCUCGUAGGCGGCCAACUAAGUCAGACGUGAAAUCCCUCGGCUUAACCGGGGAACUGCAUCUGAUACUGGAUGGCUUGAGAUUGGGAGAGGGAUGCGGAAUUCCAGGUGUAGCGGUGAAAUGCGUAGAUAUCAAGAGGAACACCUGAGGUGAAGACGGGUUGCUGGGCUGACACUGACGCUGAGGCGCGAAAGCCAGGGGAGCAAACGGG
rnacentral:rRNA from 1 species